rnacentral:misc_RNA from 1 species
AUGAAAGCACUUAUUUUUGUUACUGGUAAACUUAUAUUAUACUGUGAAAUGUACAGAAGGAAUGUCGCUUUGUGCUAUCUGGACAAAAGACUUUAGAGAUUGGACGAAAUCUUAGAAUGGAAUUUGCGGAGGGCGAAGGAAUUUGGAGCACUUCUAAAAAACGGAACAAAUUUCAGAUUAAUGCAGCACUAACGAUUUCCAAUACAAGGGAAAUGCAGGAUUGCUAGCAUCCAAGCACAUGUGGACUGUAUAUUAGUGCCAGUUGUCAGUAAAUAAGAAAGACGAUAAAUAAAUAGAAAACUAGAAUGUUUUUGUCUUAUUGCUUUUGCUCUGUUUCAAGAGUUACUUGUAUUUAUGUAAUGAUUUGCUUGUAUAUUUGUUUUUGUUUUCAUUUUUUAUUUGGUUGCUUUUCUUCUCGGCGGUGUUUGCUAUUGAUAAUAAACAGUGUAGCACUUUU